CCUACGGGAGGCAGCAGUAGGGAAUUUUCGUCAAUGGGCGCAAGCCUGAACGAGCGAUGCCGCGUGAGUGAAGAAGGCCUUCGGGUCGUAAAGCUCUGUUGCGGGGGAAAAAAGGCAGCAUCAGGAAAUGGGUGCUGACUGAUGGUGCCCCGCCAGAAAGUCACGGCUAACUACGUGCCAGCAGCCGCGGUAAUACGUAGGUGGCGAGCGUUAUCCGGAAGGAUUGGGCGUAAAGGGUGCGCAGGCGGUCCUGCAAGUCUGGAGUGAAACGCAUGAGCUCAACUCAUGCAUGGCUUUGGAAACUGGAGGACUGGAGAGCAGGAGAGGGCGGUGGAACUCCAUGUGUAGCGGUAAAAUGCGUAGAUAGAUGGAAGAACACCAGUGGCGAAGGCGGCCGCCUGGCCUGUUGCUGACGCUGAGGCACGAAAGCGUGGGGAGCAAAUAGGAUUAGAUACCCCAGUAGUC
rnacentral:rRNA from 1 species